CACACAGUUCAUAGUCCAUCCUUAUGGGGCCCGCCCUGGAUUUCUAUCUCACUUUAAAGGAUUUCAUAUUUAACCUCACACACACACACUUUUCUAGUGUAUCCUUAUGGGGCCCUGUCAUCUCAUUCUCGCUUUAAGUGACUUCACAUCAUUUGUACAACACAUUUUAGCAUUAAACCUCCGGUUAUUAUAUAUAUAUAUAGUUCUACUUUGUGAGCUGUUUUAGGUUUUAAAGUGUAUUUUGAAUAUGAAUCAGUGUAGCCCCCUAUAUGUUAUUGUUAGACUUUAGAAUAGGCCAUGCACACUGCUUUAAGUUAUUUGCCAUUGAAUAGACUUUUCAAAUAAAGUCAAUUCGGUAACUUGUGAGUAUCUCAACAAACAUCAUAACUAUAAUUUCUAAAUGCAGUCUUUUUUUCAAUCUGAAUUCCAGGUGACACACAAUCAGGCUCCUGCUGUGGCAGUGGACACGGAGACGCCUUUAGACUGGACUACCUCUGAUGGAUGUGACCCAAAUAGAGCUACAGUCAGGUGACACACAAUCAGGCUCCUGCUGUGGCAGUGGACACGGAGACGCCUUUAGACUGGACUAGCUCUGAUGGAUGUGACCCAAAUAGAGCUACAGUCAGGUGACCAACAAUCAGGCUGCUGCUGUCGCAGUGGACAACUCUUCAGAUAUGACUUCCCUUGGUGAAUGUCUCUCAAAUGCAGCUACAGACCAGGUGGUCAACAAUCAGGCUCCUGCUGUCGCAGUGGACAACUCUUCAGAUAUGACUUCCCUUGGCGAAUGUCUCUCAAAUGCAGCUACAGACCAGAGAAACCCACUGCUGUAAAAAGAAACUGGAGACCACAGGAGUGUGCAGCUGUUGAACGACAUUCAAGGAGAUUUAUUGUACUUAACAAAGUUCCUGGGAAAAUGGACUGUCAGCGCUGCAUUUCAGCCGAGCCUCAAGCCCUGAGUGACAGAGACUGGAGAGCAGUCAAGUAUUUCAUUAAAAAUAGAAUAACAUCUCUGAAAAACAAAAUGUUGUAAAAAGUGAAAAGUAGACUAAUGUUGAUAUUUUCUUUGAGGAAAUCCUAUUAAAGUUGUGGGUGGCACUUUAUAAUAAGUACACACUAUUUAACAUUAUUAAAGCAUGAAUACACA